AUCCCGCUGCGCGGAUUCGGCCGCUCAGCGUUUAGAGCCACGCCCAGGGAGGGGCCCUCGGGAGGGCCGGAGCACGGAUCUCGGGAUCGGGAGUCUGCGGUGAUGUCGAGCCUUUGCCAGCGCCACCCUAGACCAGCGGCUUGUGCAAGGAGGGUUCUGGAUGAGAAAAAGGAAUGUUCAGAGUGGUCAAAUGGCUUCCUGAAAUCACACAGCAAGCUAGUGAAGAGCCAGCCGUGGACCUCGUCUCUCCAUGCCCAGUCUUCCUCCCACCACCACAUCUGGAAUGUACCCAAACUGCCCCCCUGGCCUCCGGGAGAGCCUCCAAGAGAGUCAGAUCCAAGAGUGCCAGCAAGCUGCUGCACAGCCACCACAUCCUCCACCAUAAGAGAGAUGGCGAGGUGGAGCUCAUCAGAAUCUUAAUUUGGAAAUGAACUACUCAAAAAGCUGCAUUGAUGAGCUUUUCCUUUUAGAAUUAUAAAUAUUUACAAUAAUCAUUAUUUUGCUGUGAAUCGAUUUCUGUCAGGCAAUUAGAGUUGUCCUGGUCUGCUGACAGUAUUGGUUUUGUGCCGGUUUGCCUUUCUAGCAGCAGCAUUUAAAUGGUAUUUAUUGAUUAGCAGAUGGAUUGCUCCUAGGUGUUGUGACCAAACAAAUUUUGGAAAUGAAGCAAUUUAAAAUUUUUCUCAAAACCCAAUUACCUCAGAAUACAGAAGACAAAUUAAAAGAAGAAACUGUGUACUGUGGAUGAUGGUUCUGGGUUAAUUAUUUGGAAAGCUAUGAUUUUCUCUACUAUUCCCAUGGCAUUUUCUGCCUCCCACCCAUUCAUCAUUCAGAGAAGAGUUACUGAGCACCUAUUAUUACUGGAAACUGUCCUGGCCAUAGGCAGAUGGAAAUGACAAUGAGAUGGCUCCUUUCUGUGGGGAAUCCAGGUUUGUAAAUGGGGAGAUGAGUCCACAGCUGGCUCUUCCAUGGCCUUAUGUGAUUCGUAAAUUUUCAAUCAGCAAACAUCUUUAUUCUUUCUCUUUGCCAGUAGUAUUUCAAAAUGCCUUCAAUUAAUGAAGACACAUUUGUGGAAUUGGAUGUAAAUCACCCAGAAGUAUAUAAUUAAUGGCAACCUGCUUCAGUGAUGGUUCCUAGAGGAGAGUGGCUUUCCAGCUGCCCGCUGGUGGCAGUCGGCCUCUUGAAGCUCGAAUUCGAAUGAAUUGUGUUGAUAAAUUUAUUGACAUGAAAUGG